AUACGUAGGGGGCGGGCGUUGCCCGGAAUGAUUGGGCGUAAAGGGCGCGUAGGCGGCCCGGUAAGUCUGGAGUGAAAGUCCUGUUUUUAAGAUGGGAAUUGCUUUGGAUACUGUCGGGCUUGAGUGCAGGAGAGGUAAGUGGAAUUCCCAGUGUAGCGGGGAAAUGCGUAGAGAUUGGGAGGAACACCAGUGGCGAAGGCGACUUACUGGACUGUAACUGACGCUGAGGCGCGAAAGUGUGGGGAGCAAACAGGAUUAGAUACCCUGGUAGUCCACACUGUAAACGAUGAAUGCUAGGUGUAGGGGGUAUCGACCCCUUCUGUGCCGCAGUCAACACAAUAAGCAUUCCGCCUGGGGAGUACGGCCGCAAGGUUGAAACUCAAAUGAAUUGACGGGG
rnacentral:rRNA from 1 species